rnacentral:piRNA from 1 species
ACUACACGAUAACAACCAGUU